AAGGAUCAGAAGGUAAGCGGCUUCGGUCAGAGGGUAUAAUCGAUUGAGUCCGGAAAGGUCCUUCGAAGGGACAUCCAAUGGUUCGUGCGGAUCGUGGGUCAAAGUGAAAUUUUUACUUUAAUGAGGGUAUAUUCCUUUGUAAGAAAGAAGAUUUCUUCGCGGAAUGUUUUUUGAUUACAUCUUGUUCCACCCUCAAAAGAAUUCAAAGCAGUCGAAAAGGGAAAAUGGAGAUCAAUCCUAACGUUAACAGUGUUCUUGGAUAUCGAACUAAUGUUAAUUUGGAUAGCAUUUAGUUAGAAAGUUAUAUAUACCGUAAUAAUAUUUAUUUCAAUGCCAUGAGUGAGAUUAGGAACGGCAAAGAAAAUAUUAAGGCGAUUAACAUUAUUCCAAAAAAGAUUUGCGAAUCCAUGUCGAAGAUGAAGAAGAAGAAAAAGGUGAUACAGGGGAUGAAGAAGUGGAAGAGAUAUACUAAAGGAAACGAAGGCGGAAGCAGGAAAAGUUCCAAUAGCUUACAAGUAUUACAAAGGCCCGAGUUGACGGAUAUUUGAAUUAUAAUUCCAAAGAAGAUAUACGAAAUUUCACUACCUCGUGUUAAUGAAGUAUUCUAUAUCCGAAGUGAAACAUAUUUACUUUGGCCUGUUCUUCCUUAUAUCCGGCGAUAAAUUUUACAUGGAUAGUACAAAUGCAAUCAACCAGAUUAUGAUAUGAAAAGUUCCUUUUUCUUCUUUUAUUUAAGUGGAAAAUCAGUGAAUGGUUUGUUUAUCGAAUUUUAGAGAUAAGAUUUUAUGAUAGCGACGAGAAUAUUUCUAUUAAUGAGUUGGACAUUAAGUCUCUUAACUCUAGCUGUCAUAUAUGUAUUAUAUUAAUGUGUAUAAUUCAAGAACCCAUAUAUUUUUCACCUUUGUAAAGAAGAAUAUUUGAUAUGGGAAGCAAGAUGUUCGAUGAAAGAGAGGAGAUCGUAAAAGGGGCGGAGGUAGCUGACUCUGCUCACGAAUUUAUUAAAAAACUUGUAAAUGAUAUGGAACCCAAGUUGAUGAGAGAGGCACCAAAUUAUCCGACGUAUAGAAGUAAACAUGUUGCUACUGGUAGAGCAUUACUCUAGCAACCAUCGACAUCAAUAUUGAAUUUUAAUAAACGAGAGCGCAUUGGAUCGUGAAAUUAGAAGAGCGGUUCAAGAUGCAGAUAGAAUUUUAACCAAGGAAGGAACAUCGUUAGCGAUAGUUCAUGUAUGCAUUAUGUGAUUGGGAAUACCUAGGAAGAGGAAAAAGAAGAAAAAACAUUUGUGCUUGACGACGAAGUUUGGAAAGACCAAUAGGGCGUUGGUUUAUAAAGCGUCGGACGGUGGUACGAGGAAAUGGGAGGGAUUUUCUUCUUCCAAAGGAUCCAAACGGAUCGUACGAUGUUCCAUGCGGGUCAUGAAUCGAAGGGGAAUGGAAAUGAAACUGAGGGAGGUUUAUCAUACAAAAUAAUUUAACAUACAGGGACGAUUAAAAGAUUCAAAAUUUUUGGAAAUAAUAACGAUAGCAGGAGUAUACUUUUAAAUUAUACGUGAAAUAAAAAGUCCACGUUCGCAUCAUCGUUAUUCCAUCGGUAUAAAUUAAGUAACAGUUCGCUAUAAUUAAAAAAGGAGAAAUGUUGAAUCCCAUAUUUUAAAUUGUUUGUCAUCAUAUUCACGACAUGUAGUUAAAAAAUAUUCGUAAUAUUUUAUUAGCGUUUUUCAUAAAUAUUAUAUAUAUACACACGGUGAGAUGAACGUACCCUGAAUAUUUAACGCAAAAUUUAAGUCUCCCGAGCUAACAGCACAAUUUCAAUAGGAAACUUCAGUGAAACACGGAUUUUCCAAACAGUAGCAGUGCAAACACUCGAUCCGCCCAAAUCACUCUCUAACUGUGUGGUUCUCUCGAAGAGGAAAUACGUGAAACAGAGGAUGGUGAGAUGAGGAAAUAAAGAAAUAUGACAAGAGAUUUUCUCCGAAUACAUUUUUUCUAUUAUCGUGCAAUAAUGGAAAUGAAUUCUAGGAUAACUUAAGCAAUAUAUAUUUGUUUACGAGAUAAGAAAGUGAUAUUUGAAGAAAAUGUUUUUAAGGAAUAUUGAAGUAGAUGUAACUUCCUACGAAAAAAUGUUUUAACAACAAAAUAUUUUAUAAUAAGAAUUAUAUAGUAUGAAAAUUGUAAUACCCGUAAUAUGAAAUAAUAUUAGAACACUAUUUUUAAGUAUGACUUAAACUUACGAAAGAAGAAACAUUACAUAUUUCGUAUAUGAUAUUACGAUUACUUUCUAGAAAUUAACGUUGAUAAUUACAAUAAUUAUUAUUUUUGAUGUUAUUAUUAAAAUAAUUUGAAAUUAUUAAUACAAAAAUCAUUAAUAAUAAUUACUUAUAUUAUAUAUAAUUACAGUUUUACUUGCAUAUUGCAAUUAAAAAAGAGAAAAGUAACUAUCAAUUUCGUUAGAAGAUUCCAAGUUUUAUGAAAUAAUUUUUCAAGUGCAUAAAGGAAAUAAAAAUAUAACUACAUAGUUACAGGAGAGGGGAAAUUAUUCAUUCCCAAACUAGAAAAUUAAUAUCUAGGAAUCUUGGUCUUCUAACGAGACGACGUGGGAUUAACUAAUCCAGGGGAAGUCAUUCCUUCCGUGAUUUUCGACCCAGUAAUACGCAAGUGUGCGUCAUACGCGAAAUAAUCCCUUGCUGUCAUAAGUGGCAAACAACAGCUUUACAAAUAAUAGCAACGAUUGAAACACCUUUAUCACUAAUCAUUCUAUUAUUCCAUUAAUAUUCUUUAAAUUUAGCAUUACAUUUGUAUAAGAUUUGUUAGAAAAUUCCAUUUCCAUAUUAUAGAAAUUACCGGAUAAUUACUCCAAUUUGGGUUUCAUACCAUUUAGAAUAUUUGAGAUAAAUUCACUUGUAAAUAAAAAUACUUUCUUCGACUGUAUAAAAUCUUCGAAAAUAUUCAAUAAAUUAUUAUAAGGUAUAUAGAUACGAUAUAGAUUGUAUAGUCCACAUUACAUUUUAGAAUGAAAAAUUUAUCUUAUGUCUAAAAUAUCUUACCAUUCAAUAAACACAGCAUUGAUUGAUUUUCCAUUUAAACAUAAAUGUAAAAAGGAAAAUGUUUCCAUAUAUUAAUCUCGUUGAUGGUCUGGCUUGAUUUGUACCAUCCAUAUAGGACGUAUAGUCGGAUGUACGGAAGAACAGAAAGUGUCAAUGAAAAUGUGUUUCACUUUGGAUGUGCAAUGUUAUAUUAUCUGGUGGAGCGAAGUAGAACUUUUUGUAUCUUCUUUCGAAUUACAAUUCAAAUAUAAGUCAAUUUGGCUCCUUUGCAAUACAUCCAGGCUAUUGGAACUGCUUUCGUCUUCCGUUGGUUUAGUAUAUCCCUGAAACAAUGUAAGAUUCGUAGAUUAGUUAAGAGUUACGGAAGCCGUUGAAUUGUACAUCUAAUUGUACUGUCCUCAAAAAUAAAUUUUGUUUCAUGCUUUUAAGCGAUAUAAAGUACCUUUUCCGAAAUGCAAACAACAAUAAUUUAGAUAGCAUUGAUCACGAAAAUCAGUUUUAUUUCCAUAAUGUAAACUUGAAAUUUUAUAAUAAAUCACACACUAAUGACUACUAACAGAUUUAGCUUAUAUUGAUAGUUGAAACAAAUGACUAGGAAGAAUGAAGAAAGUGCUUCAACUACCUGAAUACUUAUAUAACUGAUCUCUGAGACGUAUGAAGUAUGCACGAACGAAUAUUUGUUGUACCACACUCGCUCGCGUAUUACUAGUUCAACAAUCACCGAAGGAAUGACCUGCAGCUUCAUCGCCGUCCUCCGAACGACGGUAUUUAUACCCCGCACAACGCUUUGGAUUCUUAACCCAGCGAACACGAUAGCGCCCUUUGCACAGGGUUAUUACACUUGACGUAGAUUAAUCAAUAUAUAGAAAGAACCAAGAUGCUCAUAAGUUACGAGGAAAUGAAUUUCUCUAUUGAUCUCUAUUAAUUGGAUGUAUCAUUAUUCUUCUUCUUGCUCUUCUAUGUUCUUCUGUCGUCUCUUUUUUCCCCUCCUUUUCUUUACAAUUUGAAAUUAGAAAUUAAUUAAAGAAUUCCGAAAAUUGUCAAAUUUGUUUUUUCUUGUUUUUUUCGUUAAAAGUAUUUACGAAUGAGAAUUAAUUUGGUGCAAAUAAUACUGUUUGACAAUUUUUUUUUGGUAUACCACUUUCUGUUCUUUGUCGAUUACUUAAUAUAAAAAUCUCUUUUUUACACAUCUGUCUUUUUUUAAAACGCAUUAGUAAAGAAUAUGGAUUAAUACAAAAUCAUUCGUCACUUUUUUUCCCUAAUAUCAUCUUUAUCUCUUUUACGUAUUUUAUUUCGACACCAUUUACGUAAGUCAAUCAGAAUUUCCUAUUACGCGAUUGAACAAAGCGGAAAGGCUUCAUUUGAUAUGGAUUGUGGGGAAAUGAAUUUCUCUAUGAAUAUAGAUUUAUCGACAGGUAGAUUUAUUGAACAGUCGACAUAGAGACUUGAAAUGAACCUGAGGAUGGUAUAUUUUACUUAUUAUAAUUAUUAUACUUAUUAAUAUUAUUAUUAUUAUACUUAUUAUUAUUGUAUCUAUUAUUAUAUCAAAAUAUAAGUUAUAAAUGUUGUAGAAA